rnacentral:tRNA from 1 species
GUUGUGGCUCAGUGGUAAUGUACUUGCCUAGCAUGCUUGAGGCACUGGGUUCGAUUCUCAGCAUCACA